CGAAGACUUGCUCCAGCCACAUGCCACUCCCCUGUGCUCGUCUUGCCGCUGCCGCUUCUGCUGCCUGCUUCCCGCUUGCCCACGGCAGCGCAACGAUUGUAGGACUUGGUGCAGAGGAAUGGAGUACGAGUACGGAUGCUGCCUCUGUUGAUCUCAGAGGACAUGAUCAGUUGUGUUUCAAAUUAUAGAGCAAGCAAGGUACACAGUGC